AAUUUUGCAUGAACUUUCUCUGCAAAUUUAAGCAAAUAUUAAGUGAUAUUUCAUUGAAUUUUUAACUUUUCAUUUCACUUCUUUUCAGAUGUGUACAUCCUGAAGAUAAAAGUACGGCUCUUGGAGUGAAAGAAGCGUUGAUUUCGCUUUUCUGUUUCAUACCAUACCCGGUUGUGUUCGGUGCAAUAGUAGAUUCCACGUGCUUGAUUUGGGAGGAGAGUUGCGGGCAGACUGGAAACUGUUGGUUUUAUGACUUAAAGAAUUUGAAUUAUUCGUUACACAGUGUAGCGGCUUUGAGCACCGUUUGUGGUGCAAUAUGUACGUAUAUUGUCUAUCGUCUCAGAGGAAGACUUUACGAUUUAUAUGAAGAUGAUGACAAUAGCACCAAGAAAAAGGAAGAACAAAUCGUGAAACUGGAUACUGUAUCUAACACUGUGACUCGAUUAUAAAGAACAAUUGUGAGUGAGAAAAGUAUUACGCAGUAAAUGCAAAUGGCAGUGUUUCCUUUGCUAUGAAGUAACAAACCAUAAAAAUGUUACAAAAAUUCAUUUAAAAAUAAUAAAAAGUAAAUCUGAAAGGUUUUAAAUUUUAAAGUACGUCCCAAAGAGGCGUUUUUUUUUUGUUUUGUUUGUUUUUUUUUAGCAUUUUGUGUGUUACCUUUAUUUAUCAAAUAUCACGUCCUUCGCACUUAAACCAUAAAAUUCAUUUCAUGAGUAAUAUCGCAAAAUAAUUUUAAAUUGAGCAUAUCUUUAGAUUUUCCAAUGCACAGUCUCCGCAUUGGGGAUAAAAAUGUGUUUUCUGUACAACGUUGCCGUUGCUCGCUUUAAAAACAAAGAUAUCUAGAGCCAUCAAUUUUUGAAUAACCUAGUUCUCCCUUCCUUCUCCCCCCCCCCGAAAAAAAAUAUGGGCACCUGGAAACUCGAAUGUUGGAUUUCGACUUUGUAUUAUCUAUUUCAGAUUUUGUUAAACUUAACUAAUUUUUACUUAAGAAGCUCAAUGAUUUCAAAGCGAGCAGUGGCGACUAUUGUGUAGAAUUAAAUAUUUUUAUCUACAGUACGCGAGGACAAUAUAUCGGAAAUUCAACAGAUAUGAUGUUUUUAAAUAUUUUUAAUCCAAAGGGGCGUUAGCCGAAAUGCUCUCAAAACGUGUAUGUAUGUAUUUGUAAAUGAAAAACGCCCCUUUGGGCUUAAUAUAAGUUCUGAAAUAUUUGAGAUUUUUUUUCAUAUAUUUUAAUUUUUUUUCCGAAUCAAAUAUAUAUAUAUAUGCAGUCAGUUUUAUAUGUCUUCAUCUAAUCAAAUUAUGUUAACCUGUUUGAUAUACAUUUAUAACAUUAUAGCAACUUCUGUAAUAAUUUUCUUCCAAGACCGACAAUUUGAGAAAUUUAGUACCGAGGACUCUUCCUAUAGAUUUCUUGCUCAAGCAACAAAAAAUUUAUUUCCGAUUACCCUUUCUGUGGACUUCCAACUAAGCAAUAAAAGAGGAACUUGGAACACUA